GAUUAAAGAUUUAUCGGUGAUGGAUGGGGAUGCGUCUGAUUAGCUUGUUGGCGGGGUAACGGCCCACCAAGGCGACGAUCAGUAGGGGUUCUGAGAGGAAGGUCCCCCACAUUGGAACUGAGACACGGUCCAAACUCCUACGGGAGGCAGCAGUGAGGAAUAUUGGUCAAUGGGCGAGAGCCUGAACCAGCCAAGUAGCGUGCAGGAAGACGGCCCUAUGGGUUGUAAACUGCUUUUAUAAGGGAAUAAAGUGAGUCUCGUGAGACUUUUUGCAUGUACCUUAUGAAUAAGGACCGGCUAAUUCCGUGCCAGCAGCCGCGGUAAUACGGAAGGUCCGGGCGUUAUCCGGAUUUAUUGGGUUUAAAGGGAGCGUAGGCCGGAGAUUAAGCGUGUUGUGAAAUGUAGACGCUCAACGUCUGCACUGCAGCGCGAACUGGUUUCCUUGAGUACGCACAAAGUGGGCGGAAUUCGUGGUGUAGCGGUGAAAUGCUUAGAUAUCACGAAGAACUCCGAUUGCGAAGGCAGCUCACUGGAGCGCAACUGACGCUGAAGCUCGAAAGUGCGGGUAUCGAACAGGAUUAGAUACCCUGGUAGUCCGCACGGUAAACGAUGGAUGCCCGCUGUUGGUCUGAAUAGGUCAGCGGCCAAGCGAAAGCAUUAAGCAUCCCACCUGGGGAGUAC
rnacentral:rRNA from 1 species